rnacentral:RNase_P_RNA from 1 species
CGGGAGAACCAGGCAAUCGCGCGACGCUACGUAAGGUACGUCUCGAGGAAAGUCCGGGCUCCACAGCACAGGAUGGUGGAUAACAUCCACUCAGGGCAACCUGCAGGCCAGUGCCACAGAAAACAAACCGCCCACAUAGCUGGGUAAGGGUGAAAAGGUGGUGUAAGAGACCACCAGUACCGUGGGCGACCACGGUAGCUCGGUAAACCCCAUCCGGAGCAAGGUCAAAUAGAGCAUGCCAGAGGGUAGUGCGCCCAAAUGCUCGGGUAGGCCGCUUGAGCACCUCAGCAAUGAGGUGCCUAGAUGGAUGAUUGCCCCCACUCACAAGGUGGCGACAGAACCCGGCUCAUCGGUUCUCCCGCGUU